UGUGAACUAAGUAACUAAGUAUAAUUGAAAUGCAAUUUAAGUAAUGUAAAUGAAAAGAAUUAAAAAUUUUGCAAAAAAUUUGCCCUCCCCCAAACUCAAAUUAGACAAUGUCCUCAUUGGCUUAAUUGAAGUGACAGAAAUAUCAAUGAAAUCAAUAAAUGAUAACUAAGAGAGAUAUAAACUAAGAAAGAGUGGAACAAAGUUACCAUGUAGAACGUACAUGCCUAGUGGUUAAUGAUUAGAAUAUGUACAUGAGGCAUGUUAAUUAUAAGUAUUGGGAGCAUGAGGCAUGUUAAUCAAAAAGCAUGAGUUUUGUUGAAGUAAAGGUAAAUUAGCA
rnacentral:misc_RNA from 1 species